rnacentral:rRNA from 1 species
CACGUAGGCACCAAGCGUUGUCCGGAUUUAUUGGGCGUAAAGAGCUCGUAGGCGGUUCAGUAAGUCGGGUGUGAAAACUUUGGGCUUAACCCAAAGCGUGCAUCCGAUACUGCUGUGACUUGAGUACGGUAGGGGAGCGGGGAAUUCCUAGUGUAGCGGUGAAAUGCGCAGAUAUCAGGAGGAACACCGGUGGCGAAGGCGGAUCUCUGGGCCUUACCUGACGCUGAGGCGCGAAAGCUAGGGGAGCAAACAGG